UGGGGAAUCUUCCGCAAUGGACGAAAGUCUGACGGAGCAACGCCGCGUGAGUGAUGACGGUCUUCGGAUUGUAAAGCUCUGUUAAUCGGGACGAAUGGUUUAUGUGCAAAUAGUGCAUAGACAUGACGGUACCGGAAUAGAAAGCCACGGCUAACUACGUGCCAGCAGCCGCGGUAAUACGUAGGUGGCAAGCGCUGUCCGGAAUUAUUGGGCGUAAAGCGCGCGCAGGCGGACUAGCCAGUCAGUCUUAAAAGUUCGGGGCUUAACCCCGUGAUGGGAUUGAAACUACUAGUCUAGAGUAUCGGAGAGGAAAGUGGAAUUCCUAGUGUAGCGGUGAAAUGCGUAGAUAUAUGGAGGAACACCGGUGGCGAAAGCGGCUCUCUGGUCUGUAACUGACGCUGAGGCUCGAAAGCGUGGGGAGCGAACAGG
rnacentral:rRNA from 1 species